ensembl:lncRNA
AGCCCAAGAAAACCUCCUCCUUAUAAUAGUGAGAAAGCCAAGUUUCUAAUUUUGCACCAGCUUACUUUUGGUCUUAGAAACGCUGACUUAAUUAAAUUCUUUCAAUCUUUGCCAGCUUGACUAGGCGGAAAACUUCUUUUCUCGGGGUUCCUUAUCCACAAACCUUCAGUGACUUUCUUACUCAUAUUCAGAGUUUGUUCUUUCCUCUUUCCCAUAACCACUUUGACUUUAGGACCAAUUUACUUUCUUAAAACAUCUCCAUUCCUUAUACCUUCGUUUACUGAAAACAUACAUUUCCUUAUAGCAUAAAUUUUUCAGUGUGGAACAAGACAUGUUUACUAAUAGACCCAAACAUCUUUUAGGUUUUUUGUUUUUAAUCAGAAGCUGAAAGUAGAUAAACCUAUGUUUAGUAAUUAAUGUUUUACUAUUUUAUGUUAUCUGGAAAUGAUCAAGAUACUCAAUAAAUUUCUAGCAUUUAACUUAAUUUAGUAAAACUCUAAGGUUUCAAGUUACUAAGAGGUUUUGAAGUUAUUUUUAAGUACUUAUACCAUAACACAUUAUUAUUAAAAAGUUCAGCUAAAAACUUUUAUCUUACUUACAUCAUUUACUUUACUUGUUCCAAAUAAUUUUGUUUACAUUACCUACAAAAACUUCAUGAGACAUUAGACAAAGGCAGCCGUCACUUUUCUGCUGACAAAUUUUGUAGCAGAGAUAAUGUAAACUUGUUUGAUUUUUAGUAAAGCUAGGUAGAACAAGUUUUCUAUUUUAUGCUGGGAACUCUCAGGACAUGCCUAUUUUAAUUAACCCAACAAACUUAGACAAGCUUUUAUUUACCAAAGAUUAUUUUAUAUCACGUUAACUUGACAAACAUUUAGAUUAGUUUCUAUUGUCGACAAAAAAUAAUCCAUAACCAAUCUAUAAAUGCAAAUUUGGGUGAGUUUAUUCUGAGCUUAAAUCUGAGGAUUAUAACCCGGGGCCUUUCUUCCCGAAGGAAGAAAGGGCACCAAAGAAGUGGGGUGCACAGACUGGUUAUAUACCCCCAGAGAGGAUGUUUCACAUAGGAUUGAAAUGUCCCUUUCACAAUAGUCGCGAGACUGCUCUGUCGGCACAGCAAUUGAUGGAAACAGCAGGUAGGUCUCCUGUCUCAGUGAACACAGCAGGGUGGCAGUCUGUUGUCUCCAGCUGAGUGGUCACAGGUGAGCUGGGUGGUGAAAGCUGAGUGCAGCAAUCAGUUCCUAGCCAAAGGAAAAAUGCUUAUCCCUAAGGAAAUGCUAAUGUGGGGGCGAAGUUCCACCUUUUUCUCAAGGGCCUUUGUUCUGGCCACAGGAAAUGUCUAAGCAGAUAUACAAUGCGUGCUCAACAGCCACAGUCAGACCCUUUUGGAAAAAACAAAGUCAGGCCAAAUUAGGUUUAUACCAAACGGCUUCCUCAUAUACUCCAAUAUACCCUAUUGCUUGCCAUUUUUAUUUGUCAUUUCCCCCUUUUGAUCUCUAAUCUUUCGAUAGAAAGCAUUUAUGAUCAAAAUAUUAUCCCUCGGCCCCAGAGUGGUUGCUGCCUGCCCUGGGUCCAUCAUGUCCCUCGGUGCUAGGCUUUGAGCUCAUUUAUUUGCCUAGCCGAUCACGUUGGGGGGAAAUAGUGGACAAGCAUAGAGUUAUAUAUAUAUUAACAGAGGAAGUAUUUCAUGUCAUGUAAUUUCCAAUUAAUUUUAGAUUGUUGCACAAACAUUGUAUAUGUGCUUUUCUAUGACAGUUCACAUUUACAUUGUAUAUGAUUAUAGAACAAGUACAGUAAUGACAGUAACUCAACAUAUUUGAAAGGAUUAGUCUGAAAUGAAUUCUUAGUCAUAGUCCCUAUCAGAAAAGGAAAUUUCUCCAGGGUUAUAAGACAGAUCGACCAUCUCAAGCCGUUGAGCAAUCAUUACUUGAGUUUGUAUGCUACUCUUACAACACUGAGUAAAGAAAACAACAAUUAGUUUGAAUAUUAUGACCAGCACAAGGAUUCCAAUAAAUAAUAGAAAUAGGAAUUCCAAUCCGGAUCGAAAAAGGGAACUGAUACUGAAAAGGGAGCCAACGAAACAAAUCAAACUAGGUGCAGGAUCGCAUAAGGCAUCCACCUGCUUCUUCAUGUGCUUUAGCAGAGAUGACACAUUGGAAGAUUCAUGACGUAUAAAAGCACAGCAUUCAGUCUGAAUGAUUGUCUAUGUACCACCUUGGGAUGCAGUAAGAAUAUGUAAAGGCAUUCUGUUUGGAAGGAAAGCCCUUCUCAUUAAAGACAUUUCAGUAUUUGAAUAAGGUUAUUCCUGCUUGACUAUCAUUAAGGGCUUCUUGAGUAAAUUUAGUCAGAGCUUCCAAAUGUAAUAAUGACAUCUUUUAACUGCAAAGAAGAAGCAAAUAUAGCUGCAAAUAUAGCCAUACCAGUGUAACACUGAACAAGCCCAUCUGGCCUUAAGAAAGGGAGAUUGCCAUCAGGUUUUAACUCAGCCUGACUCCUUCCCUGCUUUUAAAGGAAGCUCAGGGUGCAGUGUCUUAGCCAUCCAGGCAGUAGCCAAGGCCAAAGAUUUGUUCCACAUAACCAUUGAGUUCCAUUAGGAGUCACUCGAUAAAUUCCUGGCCUUCAAGAUCAGUCUGUUCCAAAUUAAUCACUUUAAGUAUGAUAGCAUUCCAAACAAAUUAUAAAAUAGGUAUACAGUUUAAGCAUAACAAAUGUUUAAAUGAGGAGAUAUAAGGUAGGGAGAAAAAGAUAAAUGUCUCAGUUUUGCUCACAAAGGUAUAACUUCACUCAAUUUCACUAAAUUGCU